rnacentral:rRNA from 1 species
GAUUCUGGCUCAGGAUGAACGCUAGCUACAGGCUUAACACAUGCAAGUCGAGGGGCAGCAUUGGAGUAGCAAUACUCAGAUGGCGACCGGCGCACGGGUGAGUAACACGUAUCCAACCUGCCGCUUACUCGGGGAUAGCCUUUCGAAAGAAAGAUUAAUACCCGAUGGUAUAAAGAGUUCGCAUGUUCUCUUUAUUAAAGAAUUUCGGUAAGCGAUGGGGAUGCGUUCCAUUAGAUAGUUGGCGGGGUAACGGCCCACCAAGUCUACGAUGGAUAGGGGUUCUGAGAGGAAGGUCCCCCACAUUGGAACUGAGACACGGUCCAAACUCCUACGGGAGGCAGCAGUGAGGAAUAUUGGUCAAUGGACGAGAGUCUGAACCAGCCAAGUAGCGUGAAGGAUGACUGCCCUAUGGGUUGUAAACUUCUUUUAUAAGGGAAUAAAGCGAGGGACGUGUCCCUUUUUGUAUGUACCUUAUGAAUAAGGAUCGGCUAACUCCGUGCCAGCAGCUGC